CCACAAACCUUUGUUGUUUUUCUUAGUACCUUCUUUCCACCCAUGUCGUAGAACAAGAGUCCUACAGCUAUCUCUCUCUCUUUGGGAACUGGAACCAUGUGGAUUAGAAGACUCUACAUGAUCCCAACCUAGCAGCGUCCUGAGGUUAAAAAGCCUGCAAUAACCUUGACCAUUGGGGCUGAUGAGAAAAGAAAUCCAGAACACAUUUUAAUAUAAUCCUAUGUGUCAUGCCAGCCAUGUGACCUAUGGACAACGCUGGCUCUUCGGCUUAGAAAUGGAGAUGAACACCACACCCCAGAGUCGGACACGAAUGGAUUUAGUGUCAGGGGAAAACCUUUACCUUUAACCUUACAGAUUAAAAUACUCC